GGAAGAGUGUUGAACUACCUGACCCACCUGAUGUGUGUGCUUAAAACUGAGUCCUAGAUUCUGACUGAAACCAAGAUGGGUCUCCAAGGCCUGCCGUCAGAGAGACAUUUCUGUACCUGGACAGAGCUCCCUGCCGAGCCCAGAGGCACAAAGAUAACAGAAUAUUAAACGAGGAAAGACUGGACACCGCAACUUCCCCACUGGUUCUGAUUGGAAGACUAAGGGAGAGGUCGCAGAAGAUCAAUACAACAAAGUUCUCUUCCCUGAACCUGGGCAAAGAGUUCAACGCAUUCUUCCCGAGGUCAUGAGGAGCUCAUCUAGCUGCUUUCUGGAAAGGCUGUGGCAAGAUUCAGCUCUCAUUCCAUCAGAUAUGCUGGCUGCUGUUGGUUUGGAGGAAGUUCUACACCGAGACUAGACUGAUGGAUGGAAUUUAAUCACUCCUAAAGAGGAAAGAAUCUAUGGUGCCACCUAGAGAACAGGAUUCUUGCUAUUCAAAGUGGUGGGGGGUGCCAGGGUUCACACCACGCCCUGGGUGGUAAGUUUCCAGACACAUUCAAGAGGUGUUUUAUCUUUUGACGCUUAGAUGGCUCCCUACUGAGGAUAAACCAACUUAGAGGAGACAGAGACUGCUGUUUGCAGUGGAGCGGG
rnacentral:lncRNA from 1 species